rnacentral:rRNA from 1 species
AUUGAACGCUGGCGGCAGGCCUAACACAUGCAAGUCGAACGAGUGGCGGACGGGUGAGUAAUGUCUGGGAAACUGCCUGAUGGAGGGGGAUAACUACUGGAAACGGUAGCUAAUACCGCAUACCAUCAGAUGUGCCCAGAUGGGAUUAGCUAGUUGGUGGGGUAACGGCUCACAAAGGCGGCGAUCCCUAGCUGGUCUGAGAGGAUGACGGGCCAAGCUGGAACUGAUACACGGUCCAGACUCCUACGGGAGGAGGCGGUGGGGAAUAUUGCACAAUGGGCGCAAGCCUGAUGCAGCCAUGCCGGGGGUAUGAAGAAGGCCUUCGGGUUGUAAAGUACUUUCAGCGGGGAGGCGUUACCCGCAGAAGAAGCACCGGCUAACUCCGUGCCAGCAGCCGCGGUAAUUC